ACGAAUUACAGCAAAGACACAAAUGGC
rnacentral:sRNA from 1 species